rnacentral:rRNA from 1 species
GAUGAACGCUGGCGGCGUGCCUAAUACAUGCAAGUCGAGCGAACGGACGAGAAGCUUGCUUCUCUGAUGUUAGCGGCGGACGGGUGAGUAACACGUGGAUAACCUACCUAUAAGACUGGGAUAACUUCGGGAAACCGUAGCUAAUACCGGAUAAUAUUUUGAACCGCAUGGUUCAAAAGUGAAAGACGGUCUUGCUGUCACUUAUAGAUGGAUCCGCGCUGCAUUAGCUAGUUGGUAAGGUAACGGCUUACCAAGGCAACGAUGCAUAGCCGACCUGAGAGGGUGAUAGGCCACACUGGAACUGAGACACGGUCCAGACUCCUACGGGAGGCAGCAGUAGGGAAUCUUACGCAAUGGGCGAAAGCCUGACGGAGCAACGCCGCGUGAGUGAUGAAGGUCUUCGGAUCGUAAAACUCUGUUAUUAGGGAAGAACAUAUGUGUAAGUAACUGUGCACAUCUUGACGGUACCUAAUCAGAAAGCCACGGCUAACUACGUG